UACGGAGGAUGCAAGCGUUAUCCGGAUUGAUUGGGCGUAAAGCGUCUGUAGGUGGUUACGCUAGUCGGCUGUUAAAGAUCAGGGCUGAACCCUGAGCAAGCAGUCGAAACUGCGUGGCUGGAGUACGGUAGGGGCAGAGGGAAUUCCCGGUGUAGCGGUGAAAUGCGUAGAUAUCGGGAAGAACACCAAAGGCGAAAGCGCUCUGCUGGGCCGAAACUGACGCUGAGGCGCGAAAGCUAGGGGAGCAAACAGG
rnacentral:rRNA from 1 species